AUUGAACGCUGGCGGAAUGCUUUACACAUGCAAGUCGAGCGGCAGCGCGGGGCGACCUGGCGGCGAGCGGCGAACGGGUGAGUAACAUAUCGGAACGUGUCCUUUAGUGGGGGAUAACGCAGCGAAGGCUGUGCUAAUACCGCAUACGAUCGAGAGAUGAAAGCGGGGGAUCGCAAGACCUCGCGCUAAAGGAGUGGCCGAUAUCAGAUUAGCUAGUUGGUGAGGUAAAGGCUCACCAAGGCGACGAUCUGUAGCUGGUCUGAGAGGAUGAUCCGCCACACUGGGACUGAGACACGGCCCAGACUCCUACGGGAGGCAGCAGUGGGGAAUAUUGGACAAUGGACGAAAGUCUGAUCCAGCAAUACCGCGUGAAUGAUGAAGGCCUUAGGGUUGUAAAGUUCUUUAGUAGGGAAGAUAAUGACGGUACCUACAGAAAAAGACCCCGGCUAACUCCGUGCCAGCAGCCG
rnacentral:rRNA from 1 species